rnacentral:lncRNA from 1 species
UCAUGCCUUAUUGUUUUCCCCUUCAUACAAUUCCAAGAACUUGAAAAAUCGAAUCACUGAAUUCUAUGAGAUAACCUUCAUAAGACACCAACGAAAACCUAUAAAUGUAUUCCUCCUAGAAGUUAUUCGAACAUUUUUCUGCGCAAAGGUCAACUUUGAUAUUUUCUCAUGUUACUUCAAAGGGAGAAGGCAAUUUACAGGAAGAAAAUUUAGAUUUAGUUUUAAAAAGAUGUACCCAAGACUACCUCAAAGAGAACAAUCAAUCGAAUCUUGAGUAAAAUAUAAUCCUUCUGAUCCUCCUCCAAGUGAAAGGGAAAAAAGUUGAAAAUGCAAACUUGCAAGAAAUUACCCAUUAGUAGUAAUCAGGUGCAUCUGGGAUCCAAUCCAUCGGAGAGCGAGGCACUCAAUUUGAAUGGUACAGACUGCACCGAAACACAAAUGAUCAGCAUCCCAUCACAGCACAAUUGUAAACAAAACUGCCAGAUUGUUUUCGGCCGAGCAAAACCCAUUGCGGCGGACCUUCAAUUGGAACCCAUGCAUUGACUUCGAUAUAUCCCUGACCAACAGUCCGAGGCCCUCCAAUUACAAUAAGCCUAUCGCCACAUGCCCUAAACGCCAAACCCCAACCAUUCGUAGAAUCAGCUCGUUCUGGCAAUCUUCCUACGGUAAUCCACACUUUAUUAUUCUUGUCAUACUUUCUCAGUGCCAUGUCAGCAUAAUCAGCAGCAUAUAAUUCAUUAUUUACAACAGCAAUCAACGGAGGUGCUUCGGACGUAGCAGGUCGAUCGAAUUCCCUGGCCACAUCAGUCCGCACUGGGGACAUGUUAGGUAUUUCAGUCCAAGUCUCGGUUUCCAGAUUAUAUUCCUCUCCACAUGUGAGAAGCUUCGACUCUGUUCCUCCAAUUCCUCCAAUCACAUAAAACUUUCCAUCCAUGAACACCCCAGAACACAUCUUCCUCGGUUUCUUCAUGCUUGGAAGUGUCUUCCAAAUUCCCAAUUCAGAAUUAUAGAGCUCUGCGGAACCCUAAAGUUUACAGCGGUGUACUCACUUCAGUGGUCCUGAAAAGACUCGAAUUGAUGACCAUUGGGGAGUAAACCCAAUGUCUGAUCAUUGAGCUACUUCUCAGAGUUGAGACUUGAAUAUUUUACUACCACAUAAUUAUCAAAUAGCUAUCUUAAAAACACAAAGUUAUUAGAAAAUGUUCAACACAAGUAAAAUGAAGAUAACAUAGCAUUAUGGACACUGUCAAAAUCAACAGUAUACAGAUAAUUUGUAAUUCAAAACUAAAGAAAAUUUUCCUCACUUUUGAAACAAGUUAUUCUAUCAAUAAAACAGGUUCAGAUAUCAAAAUUAAGAGAAUUAGUUUGAACUUUCCAUUUUAUAUAUCGAAGAGAGAACUUCACCAAAAACAUGGUUUACAUCAUUCAAAGGGUCAAAUAAUAGCGAUUCAAUGACUGGAGUCACUUGACGUAUUUAAGAACCAGAAUAAAACGUUAUAGAAAUAUGCAAGAACAUCCAUUCAAACUAGCCAAAGAAAAGCAUAAACUUCGGGAUAAAAGAGAACAGGAAGCUGCUAUAAAGCUGCAAAGAGUAACCGAAGAAAAAAGAUCACUUUAUAGCCGAUGCUCCCAGUAAACAUGUUCAUGCCUUAUUGUUUUCCCCUUCAUACAAUUCCAAGAACUUGAAAAAUCGAAUCACUGAAUUCUAUGAGAUAACCUUCAUAAGACACCAACGAAAACCUAUAAAUGUAUUCCUCCUAGAAGUUAUUCGAACAUUUUUCUGCGCAAAGGUCAACUUUGAUAUUUUCUCAUGUUACUUCAAAGGGAGAAGGCAAUUUACAGGAAGAAAAUUUAGAUUUAGUUUUAAAAAGAUGUACCCAAGACUACCUCAAAGAGAACAAUCAAUCGAAUCUUGAGUAAAAUAUAAUCCUUCUGAUCC